rnacentral:tRNA from 1 species
UGCCUGGUAGCUCAGUCGGUAGAGCAGUCGCCCUAAGCGACCGUCGCAGGUUCGAGUCCAGCCCAGGCCA